UACAUUUUUUGAUGGUCCAUUGAUCUGUCAAAAAAGGGGUAAUUUUAAAAACUGUCAAAUGAGUGAAAAAGUACCCAUGUUCAAAUUUUAUUUGGAGAAAAAAAAAGUAUAUUUUUUUACCCAUUAAUGGGUGAAAAAAUAGUUGUGAACAUUUUCGAACUGUUACCCGUUUAUUUUGAUGGAAAGGGAAUUGAAAUCACCUAACUCACGUAAAAUGAUUUUAUUUCUAGUUCUUCGCUUGUAAAAUUUCAGAGGAAAAUAGAGGCUACGAUUUUGCAUUUCUGCCUGACGAUUACAAGAAACGGUUAUUCCACGACUAAUUAAUACGAAGAAGGACCAGGUAUGGAUAAACUCAAAGACCACCUGGAUUGCGGGCCGCGGGCCACCAUUGGAAGCAUUCAUCCUGAGACGAACCAUAUUGCCAUUCAGGAGGCGGACAUGAUGGAUUAUUCGUAUGCGGAGCAAUAAUUUUCAUUAUGUUCAAUGUUUAUAAUAGUUAUGUUUUCCA